rnacentral:miRNA from 1 species
UCAGCAGUUGUACCACUGAUUGGG